rnacentral:sRNA from 1 species
UAAGCCAUAAUAGAAAGAAUGGAUAAUUAUUGAUUGACCAUCUUUAUUCUGUGGGCUCUGAUUCUCCAAUGGGAAUACCAAGGGAUGGUUUUCCAUACUGGAACCCAAAGGUAAAGACACUCAAGGACAGACAUUUUUGGCAGAGCUCAGUUUUCUGUGCUUGGACCCUCUGGGCCCAUCCUGGCCAUGAUGGAAAGGAAGUGGAAGACAGGCAGAGUGCACCGUAUCAAGGGAGAACUUCAAUUCUGCGGGAUGGCAUCACUGAAGGGAAGGCUGCUCUCCGAAUACACAACGUCACAGCCUCUGACAGUGGAAAGUACUUGUGUUAUUUCCAAGAUGGUGACUUCUAUGAAAAAGCCCUGGUGGAGCUGAAGGUUGCAGCACUGGGUUCUAAUCUUCACAUCGAAGUGAAGGGUUAUGAGAAUGGAGGGAUCCAUCUGGAGUGCAGGUACACCGGCCGGUACCCCCAACCCCAAAUACAGUGGAGCGACGCCAAGGGAGAGAACAUCCCAGCUGUGGAAGCACCUGUGGUUGCAGACAGAGUGGGCCUAUAUGAAGUAGCAGCAUCUGUGAUCAUGAGAGGCGGCUCCGGGGAGGGUGUAUCCUGCAUCAUCAGAAAUUCCCUCCUCGGCCUGGAAAAGACAGCCAGCAUUUCCAUCGCAGACCCCUUCUUCAGGAGCGCCCAGCCCUGGAUCGCAGCCCUGGCAGGGACCCUGCCUAUCUUGCUGCUACUUCUCGCCGGAGCCAGUUACUUCUUGUGGAGACAACAGAAGGAAAUAACUGCUCUGUCCAGUGAGAUAGAAAGUGAGCAAGAGAUGAAAGAAAUGGGAUAUGCUGCAACAGAGCAGGAAAUA